AUUGAACGCUGGCGGCAGGCCUAACACAUGCAAGUCGAACGAGUGGCGGACGGGUGAGUAAUGUAUGGGAAACUGCGCGAUGGAGGGGGAUAUCCACUGGAAACGGUAGCUAAUACCGCAUACCAUCGGAUGUGCACAGAUGGGAUUAGCUAGGAGGUGGGGUAACGGCACACCUAGGCGACGAUCCCUAGCUGGUCUGAGAGGAGGACCAGCCACACUGGAACUGAGACACGGGCCAGACUCCUACGGGAGGCAGCAGUGGGGAAUAUUGCACAAUGGGCGCAAUCCUGAUGCAGCCAUGCCGCGUGUGUGAAGAAGGCCUUCGGGUUGUAAAGUACUUUCAGCGAGGAGGCGUUACUCGCAGAAGAAGCACCGGCUAACUCCGUGCCAGCAGCCGCGGUAAUUC
rnacentral:rRNA from 1 species